rnacentral:rRNA from 1 species
CCUACGGGAGGCAGCAGUGGGGAAUUUUGGACAAUGGGGGCAACCCUGAUCCAGCCAUGCCGCGUGAGUGAAGAAGGCCUUCGGGUUGUAAAGCUCUUUCGGCCGGAACGAAAUCGCGCACGUGAAUAACGUGCGUGGAUGACGGUACCGGAGUAAGAAGCACCGACUAACUAUGUGCCAGCAGCCGCGGUAAUACGUAGGGUGCGAGCGUUAAUCGGAAUUACUGGGCGUAAAGCGUGCGCAGGCGGUUCGCUAAGUCAGACGUGAAAGCCCCGGGCUUAACCUGGGAACGGCGUUUGAAACUGGCGGGCUCGAGUACGGCAGAGGGGGGUGGAAUUCCACGUGUAGCAGUGAAAUGCGUAGAUAUGUGGAGGAACACCGAUGGCGAAGGCAGCCCCCUGGGCCGAUACUGACGCUCAUGCACGAAAGCGUGGGGAGCAAACAGGAUUAGAUACCCUGGUAGUCCACGCCCUAAACUAUGUCAACUAGUUGUCGGGGAAGCAAUUCCUUGGUAACGCAGCUAACGCGUGAAGUUGACCGCCUGGGGGAGUACGUCGCGAGAUAAACUACAAGAAGUAGACGCGNGAGACGUGCGACGACGACGACGAGGGAGUAGG